rnacentral:rRNA from 1 species
GUCGGGGGUUCACACCUUCGGUUCCGGAGUUAACGCAAUAAGCACUCCGCCUGGGGAGUACGGUCGCAAGACUGAAACUCAAAGGAAUUGACGGGGACCCGCACAAGCAGCGGAGCAUGUGGUUUAAUUCGAAGCAACGCGAAGAACCUUACCAGGACUUGACAUCCCUUUGACAGCACCUUAACAGGAGCCUUCCCUUCGGGGACAAAGGAGACAGGUGGUGCAUGGUUGUCGUCAGCUCGUGUCGUGAGAUGUUGGGUUAAGUCCCGCAACGAGCGCAACCCUUGCCUUUAGUUGCCAUCAGUAAGGCUGGGCACUCUAGAGGGACUGCCGGUGACAAACCGGAGGAAGGUGGGGAUGACGUCAAAUCAUCAUGCCCCUUAUGUUCUGGGCUACACACGUGCUACAAUGGCUGGUACAACGGGCAGCGAAGGAGUAAUCCGGAGCGAAUCCUACAAAGCCAGUCCUAGUUUGGAUUGUGGGCUGCAACUCGCCCACAUGAAGCCGGAGUUGCUAGUAAUCGUGAAUCAGAAUGUCGCGGUGAAUGCGUUCCCGGGUCUUGUACACACCGCCCGUCACACCAUGGGAGCUCAGGGCACCCGAAGUCAGCACUAGGCGCAAGCUGAAGCUGCCGAAGGUGAAAUGAGUGACUGGGGUG